rnacentral:rRNA from 1 species
AGUAAUGCCUAGGAAUCUGCCUGGUAGUGGGGGACAACGUUUCGAAAGGAACGCUAAUACCGCAUACGUCCUACGGGAGAAAGCAGGGGACCUUCGGGCCUUGCGCUAUCAGAUGAGCCUAGGUCGGAUUAGCUAGUUGGUGAGGUAAUGGCUCACCAAGGCGAUGAUCCGUAACUGGUCUGAGAGGAUGAUCAGUCACACUGGAACUGAGACACGGUCCAG